AAGUCGUAACAAGGUUUCCGUAGGUGAACCUGCGGAAGGAUCAUUAUCGAGUUAGGGUCCUCUGGGCCCCAUCUCCAACCCUUUGUUUAUCAAACCUUUUGUUGCUUUGGCAGGCCCGUCCUUCGGGACCGCCGGAGGCUUUUGUCGCCUCUGGUCCGUGCCUGCCAGUAGCCCAAUCAAAUUCUUUCUAAACCAUGAAGUCUGAAUGUUUAAAAUCAAAAAUUAAACUAAAACUUUCAACAACGGAUCUCUUGGUUCUG
rnacentral:misc_RNA from 1 species